rnacentral:rRNA from 1 species
AUUGAACGCUGGCGGCAGGCCUAACACAUGCAAGUCGAACGGUAACAGGAAGCAGCUUGCUGCUUCGCUGACGAGUGGCGGACGGGUGAGUAAUGUCUGGGAAACUGCCUGAUGGAGGGGGAUAACUACUGGAAACGGUAGCUAAUACCGCAUACGUCGCAAGACCAAAGAGGGGGACCUUAGGGCCUCUUGCCAUCGGAUGUGCCCAGAUGGGAUUAGCUAGUAGGUGGGGUAACGGCUCACCUAGGCGACGAUCCCUAGCUGGUCUGAGAGGAUGACCAGCCACACUGGAACUGAGACACGGUCCAGACUCCUACGGGAGGCAGCAGUGGGGAAUAUUGCACAAUGGGCGCAAGCCUGAUGCAGCCAUGCCGCGUGUGUGAAGAAGGCCUUCGGGUUGUAAAGUACUUUCAGCGGGGAGGAAGGGAGUAAAGUUAAUACCUUUGCUCAUUGACGUUACCCGCAGAAGAAGCACCGGCUAACUCCGUG